rnacentral:rRNA from 1 species
GAUGAACGCUGGCGGCGUGCCUAAUACAUGCAAGUCGAGCGAACGGACGAGAAGCUUGCUUUUCUGAUGUUAGCGGCGGACGGGUGAGUAACACGUGGAUAACCUACCUAUAAGACUGGGAUAACUUCGGGAAACCGGAGCUAAUACCGGAUAAUAUUUUGAACCGCAUGGUUCAAAAGUGAAAGACGGUCUUGCUGUCACUUAUAGAUGGAUCGCGCUGCAUUAGCUAGUUGGUAAGGUAACGGCUUACCAAGGCAACGAUGCAUAGCCGACCUGAGAGGGUGAUCGGCCACACUGGAACUGAGACACGGUCCAGACUCCUACGGGAGGCAGCAGUAGGGAAUCUUCCGCAAUGGGCGAAAGCCUGACGGAGCAACGCCGCGUGAGUGAUGAAGGUCUUCGGAUCGUAAAACUCUGUUAUUAGGGAAGAACAUAUGUGUAAGUAACUGUGCACAUCUUGACGGUACCUAAUCAGAAAGCCACGGCUAACUACGUG